GCCAGCCUCACCACCCAUCAAAACUCUCCUUAGCUCUUCUGAUCUGAGGAGCCAAGCAGAGUCAGGUGGUUAGUACUUGGGUGAGAGUUUCUGGGGCUUUUCAUCAAGGCAGGAC
rnacentral:rRNA from 1 species